GAUGAACGCUAGCUACAGGCUUAACACAUGCAAGUCGAGGGGUAACGAGAGGGAAGCUUGCUUUCCUUGUCGACGACCGGCGCACGGGUGAGUAACGCGUAUCCAACCUGCCCCCAACUAGGGAAUAACCUUGCGAAAGUAAGACUAAUACCCUAUAAUUUCCUCAGAUGUCAUCUGACGAGGAAUAAAGAUUUAUCGGUUGUGGAUGGGGAUGCGUCUGAUUAGCUUGUUGGCGGGGUAACGGCCCACCAAGGCAACGAUCAGUAGGGGUUCUGAGAGGAAGGUCCCCCACAGUGGAACUGAGACACGGUCCAAACUCGUACGGGAGGCAGCAGUGAGGAAUAUUGGUCAAUGGGCGGAAGCCUGAACCAGCCAAGUAGCGUGCAGGAUGACGGCCCUAUGGGUUGUAAACUGCUUUUAUACAGGAAUAAAGUUAGCCACGUGUGGUUAUUUGUAGGUACUGUAUGAAUAAGGACCGGCUAAUUCCGUGCCAGCCGCCGCCGUAA
rnacentral:rRNA from 1 species